UGCAGUCGAACGGUGAACCGCUUUCGGGUGGGGAUCAGUGGCGAACGGGUGAGUAACACGUGAGUAACCUGCCCUUCACUCUGGGAUAACUCCGGGAAACCGGUGCUAAUACUGGAUAUGACCUACUCGGGCAUCCGAUGUGGGUGGAAAGAUUUAUUGGUGAGGGAUGGACUCGCGGCCUAUCAGCUUGUUGGUGAGGUAAUGGCUCACCAAGGCGACGACGGGUAGCCGGCCUGAGAGGGCGAUCGGCCACACUGGGACUGAGGCACGGCCCAGACUCCUACGGGAGGCAGCAGUGGGGAAUAUUGCACAAUGGGCGAAAGCCUGAUGCAGCGACGCCGCGUGAGGGAUGAAGGCCUUCGGGUUGUAAACCUCUUUCAGCAGGGAAGAAGCGAAAGUGACGGUACCUGCAGAAGAAGCACCGGCUAACUACGUGCCAGCAGCCGCGGUAAUACGUAGGGUGCAAGCGUUGUCCGGAAUUAUUGGGCGUAAAGAGCUUGUAGGCGGUUUGUCGCGUCUGCUGUGAAAUUUCGGGGCUCAACCCCGAACUUGCAGUGGGUACGGGCAGACUAGAGUGUGGUAGGGGAGACUGGAAUUCCUGGUGUAGCGGUGAAAUGCGCAGAUAUCAGGAGGAACACCGAUGGCGAAGGCAGGUCUCUGGGCCACUACUGACGCUGAGAAGCGAAAGCAUGGGGAGCGAACAGGAUUAGAUACCCUGGUAGUCCAUGCCGUAAACGUUGGGAACUAGGUGUGGGCCUCAUUCCACGAGGUCCGUGCCGCAGCUAACGCAUUAAGUUCCCCGCCUGGGGAGUACGGCCGCAAGGCUA
rnacentral:rRNA from 1 species